AUCGUAGGUAAGUAUAUCGUACGUGCAGGUAUUUUAAGAGUUUAUCGUAGGUAAGAAUAUCGUAGGUAAGUAUAUCGUACGUGCAGGUAUUUUAAGAGUUUAUCGUAGGUAAGAAUAUCGUAAAGUAAGAAUAUCGUAAGUAUAUCGUACGUGCAGGUAUUUUAAGAGUUUAUCGUAGGUAAGAAUAUCGUAGGUAAGUAUAUCGUACGUGCAGGUAUUUUAAGAGUUUAUCGUAGGUAAGAAUAUCGUAGGUAAGUAUAUCGUAGGUAAGUAUAUCGUAGGUAAGAAUAUCGUAGGUAAGAAUAUCGUAGGUAAGAAUAUCGUAGGUAAGUAUAUCGUAGGUAAGAAUAUCGUAGGUAAGAAUAUCGUAGGUAAGAAUAUCGUAGGUAAGUAUAUCGUAGGUAAGAAUAUCGUAGGUAAGAAUAUCGUAGGUAAGAAUAUCGUAGGUAAGAAUAUCGUAGGUAAGAAUAUCGUACGUGCAGGGCUCCAGCAGACUCCAGGU